ACAAUUCACUUUUUCUUUUUCUUUUAGAGAGGUUUAGUCUCGGGAACGAAGUCCUCUCGCGACAAAAGAACCCUAAGAAAGAGUCACCGUCUUCUGAUAUGCUGCUCCGGCGGUCGGAGUUUCUCACCACCGCCGGGAGCGGUUCCGCUACGUCUCUCUGUUCGUCGUCUUAGUUUAAAUUGCGGCAUCUCAACAUCGUUUAGGGAGAGUUACCAUGGAUAUACUCUGGCCUGCCAUCGGAUGGAAAACCAAGUGAUGGUGGCCUCAUCGACUUCUCUGUGAUGGCUGUGAGCCAGACUGUCGGAAUCCGGCGUCAGUGAAGUCUGAUGUUCAAGCUUCUUUUCAAGGUCUAAACCGGCUCUGAUGUGGGUGGCUACUUCUUCCAUCGGAUUUGGUGAAAUAUUCUUCAUAAGGUUUCGGUGAUGUAGUGUUUUCGAAGGCCUUCUCUUUGUCCCUUGACGUUCUUGUCUAGGAUUAUCUUAGCUUUGGCUUGUGUUCUAUCGUUGGAUUGUGAACAAGAUUUCUUUGACUUUCUGGAGUGUGGUGGUCUUAAGCAUUGAUGGCUAGUGUCUUCAUAGUGCCUUCGGUUAGGAUCUCCUUGCCUUCGUCUAUGGUAUUGACAUCUAUCCUCUGUGGCGUCAUGUUGCUUACCGGAAUUUGUAUGCGGUAAGGCCUUGCUCGAUCUGUGAUUUAUUGGAGUAUUGUCUAUGUGAAGCACCGAUGCUGUGAAAUUGUGUUGUUCCUUGGUUUUUAACCGACGGGUUCUCCCGAUUUCUUGGUAAGAAAUUGUGGAGCUUUAGCUCGAUCGCGAUUGGUCUUUGAGUAGUUUGAUUGUCAACCGAGUUCUUCUUCUUCGGCUGCUCGGGUGAAGAUCAGUUAUCUUGUGGCUUCCCUCAGUUGAAGCUUGUUCUUGAGUGGCUGGUGCUCGUAGUUCUGUAUCGGAACUGUCUUUGGAGCUUUGCUAUCACCCCAAUAAUUUAGACCAUCAUCGCUUUCUCUCUCAUUCCGGCUUCCAUCAUUGUGGCUUCUCAUUCAUGAUACUUGUUUUUAACUCCAAAAGUUUCUUCUGAUCUUGUUCCCUUAUAGAUUUAAGUCUUAUCAGUUGUUGUCUUGGUUCUUUUCUUGAUUCCAGCUGUUGGCUCUGGAAAGGUUUUCGUACCUUUGCCAGAUGAUAAAAAAAAAAAAAAAUUCAACAA